rnacentral:rRNA from 1 species
UACGUAGGAGACGAGCGUUGUCCGGAGUUACUGGGCGUAAAGCGCACGUAGGCGGAUCUUUAAGUCAGAGGUGAAAUCCCAAGGCUCAACCUUGGAACUGCCCUUGAUACAGCAUAUCUUGAGUCCGAUAGAGGUGGGUGGAAUUCCUAGUGUAGAGGUGAAAUUCGUAGAUAUUAGGAAGAACAUCGGUGGCGAAGGCGGCCCACUGGAUCGGUACUGACGCUGAGGUGCGAAAGCGUGGGGAGCAAACAGG